CCUGGCUCUCUGUGGCGACACCUGAUGCAAAAUGCGCAACAGGUGCCACCACCAGCUGUCCCCGCUCCUGUGACAAAAAAAAAAAUAAUAAUAAUAAUCAUAAUAAAAAAUCUCUUUUGUCUUUAACCUUCUGACAUCAAUUCAUGUCACACUGCUUCUUUCUUUCUUUCUGGCUUCUAGGAAGAAAUUGCUUUAUUGAUGCUACGUUUUGCCUGUUUGUACCAAAGUGAUGCAAAUGUACACAAUUUAUAAUAAUCUCACUCACUUCUUACUGGUCUCUGUUGCAGCAGUCGCGGUCCACGGACAUCAGCUGGGGGGAUGGGGGAGGGUACCCCGGUGUCUUGGUACCGCCUCAUUAAUCCCUCCGCCAUCCGGGUCAGGCUGGCACAGCCCUCAGUGCAGGUCAGCAUAUCGCAAGAAGCGACUCACAGCCAGCAACUUUGGUUUGGUUCUGGGUGCAGUCCAGCGGCACUCAUACUCACCUUCCUUAUUCAAAAUCCUGCUUGGCUAGUACAACCUCACAGAAGAAUCUAAAGCAUGUGACUGGGGAAUCCUUCACAAGCCAAAGGCCAAGCAGCUCUACACUGACUGCACUGGUGCGGCUAUCAAGGAGAGGGGACUGUUUUUAUCUGACAGUGGCCUGCUUGGUGGUUCUCCAGAUGGGACCAUCUCUGAUGACUGCAUCAUCGAGGUGAAAUGUCCAUGGUCACCCAGAGCCAAAACUCUCUUGCAGGCAGCAGAAAAUAAGGACUUUUUUUCUGGAAGUGGAUGAAGCAAGUGGUUCCCUGGCACUCAAAAAGACUCAUAACUACUGGCAUCAAAUACAGGGAAACCUACAUCUCACAGGAGCUAGCAGUUGUCACCUUAUUAUUUGGACUACAGUCGACUUUGUGAUCUUGCCUGUUCAGAGAAACCAAACUUGGGCUGUUUUUUUUUUUUUUUUUUUAGCCUGUCAUGUCUGGCAUUUUUCACAAUCGGAAUGAUG